AGGAGGAGCUUGCUCUUCUGGAUGAGUUGCGAACGGGUGAGUAACGCGUAGGUAACCUGCCUGGUAGCGGGGGAUAACUAUUGGAAACGAUAGCUAAUACCGCAUAGGAGUAGAUGUUGCAUGACAUUUGCUUAAAAGGUGCAAUUGCACCACUACCAGAUGGACCUGCGUUGUAUUAGCUAGUUGGUGGGGUAACGGCUCACCAAGGCGACGAUACAUAGCCGACCUGAGAGGGUGAUCGGCCACACUGGGACUGAGACACGGCCCAGACUCCUACGGGAGGCAGCAGUAGGGAAUCUUCGGCAAUGGACGGAAGUCUGACCGAGCAACGCCGCGUGAGUGAAGAAGGUUUUCGGAUCGUAAAGCUCUGUUGUAAGAGAAGAACGAGUGUGAGAGUGGAAAGUUCACACUGUGACGGUAUCUUACCAGAAAGGGACGGCUAACUACGUGCCAGCAGCCGCGGUAAUACGUAGGUCCCGAGCGUUGUCCGGAUUUAUUGGGCGUAAAGCGAGCGCAGGCGGUUAGAUAAGUCUGAAGUUAAAGGCUGUGGCUUAACCAUAGUACGCUUUGGAAACUGUUUAACUUGAGUGCAAGAGGGGAGAGUGGAAUUCCAUGUGUAGCGGUGAAAUGCGUAGAUAUAUGGAGGAACACCGGUGGCG
rnacentral:rRNA from 1 species